UCGAACGCGAACGAUUUUCUUCGGAGAAAUUANUAGAGUGGCGCACGGGUGAAUAACGCGUAAGUAAUCUACCCUGGCAUUUGGGAUAACUCAGCGAAAGCUGUGCUAAUACCGAAUACGCUGAUUAUAUCAGGAAAGGUGGCCUCUGAUUUAAGCUACCGUGCCGGGAGGAGCUUGCGUACCAUUAGCUAGUUGGUAGGGUAAAGGCCUACCAAGGCGACGAUGGUUAGCGGGUCUGAGAGGAUGAUCCGCCACACUGGAACUGGAACACGGACCAGACUCCUACGGGAGGCAGCAGUGAGGAAUAUUGCGCAAUGGGGGCAACCCUGACGCAGCGACGCCGCGUGGAUGGUGAAGGCUUUCGAGUCGUAAAAUCCUGUCAGAUGGAAAGAAGUGCAUAUUUAUUAAUACUAAAUAUGUUUGACGGUACCAUCAAAGGAAGCACCGGCUACUCCGUGCAGCACCGCGGUAAUACGGAGGGUGCAAGCGUUGUUCGGAAUUACUGGGCGUAAAGCGCACGUA
rnacentral:rRNA from 1 species